rnacentral:lncRNA from 1 species
ACCUAUACCCGGCCGUCGGGGCAAGUUCCAGGCCCCGAUGAGUACACUAUUAAACAAUGCAUGUCCACAUUUUGGCAGUGAGGAAAGAUCUUAUUGGGAAGUUGCAUUUUACCAAUAGAUAAAAACGGUAACAGAACUCACCUACAUAGGUGCAAGCACUUCAAAUAUCCACCGCUGAGGGUAUACUUAAUACUAGAUAAAUAAGGCAUCAAACCAUGGCAGGUUCAGUCAUAUUAUUCGGAUACCUUAGUACGGAUAUUAUAAUGCAGACUACAGCUAGAGGAUUUAUACUCAGGGGCAAAAGAAAAUAGCUGUUAUUACUCUUAAAGAUUAUGUUCAAAAGUUAAUAUAAGCACUCCUUAAAGGAAGCACUCAUACCACAUUUAAAAUCACAAACUUUUGAAUAUAAAGUUUGUCACACAUGGGUGCCUCCGAAAACAGGCUACGUAAAAAUCAAUGUUCUUUGUGUCAACUCCUAGCAACCAUAUUACAGAAAGGAAACCAAAACGGAGUUGGGGUGGCAGGGACGCAUUAAAAUGGAGGUUCCGGUUUCAAGCUCUCUAUUUACAUGAAAAGCAUGAUUUCCGCUACACUGACUCUUUUGACCAACAUUAAGAACUGGGGCAAGGCUGAUGAAGAUCUUUAGACUUAGGGUUC